AAAAAACAUAUGGGCCCUAAAUGAGGGUUAAGCCCAAAAUGGGUGCUGCCAAAUCCAAGUCAAGAGGGGUGUUAGUAGAGAAAUAAUAAAACAAAAUAAUAAUAAAAAAAAGAACAUGGGCCCUGAGUGAGGCGGCCCAUUUCAAUCUAGAAAGGGUCCAAGGAGACCCGGUCAACCGUGUUGACCAAGAGGUGUUCUCCGGACCGUCAGAUCUGGAGAUCUGACUUGGUCUUUGGAUCGGAUGAACAUCAUGGAGGGUCACAGAGUAAUAUGACGCACCUCCGCGCAUGGGAACAAAAGGCGCCCCCUCUCUUACCGGUGACAAGUGUCCAAAGUUGGUGACACUUGUCAUCGCUGCUCACUAAUCCAACCUUGAUGUUUAAGAGGCGAACUUGAAUAAAAAAAAAUCAUUUUAACAAAAACCUUCUCUCUCUUCCAAACCUAACAACAAAACGCUCUGCAACUUCAACUUCUUCCUGCAACCGCAACCUACCUAAGAAGACGGUGGUUGUCGGCCAACGACGGCGGUGCCACCUUCUUCUCCGACGAACCAAAACUUAACCGACCAAAACCUAGACAUUAAUGCUAUGAAACUUAAAGAGAAACAACUUUUACUCUCUCGGAGAAGAUGGUGGCAGACGGCGGCCCCCAGAGGCGCCUUCCUUCUUCUCCGGUCACCUCAACCAAAACAAAUGAGGUACUAAAUAAGACCCUCUGAGUUCGAAUUUGAACUCAAAAAUUCCUAAAUCAACUCUCAAACCUCCUAGAUCGGAGCAAGAUCCGACCGAUCUAAAAACUUCUCCGAUCCCUAAACCCUUAACAUAAAACUUGACUCGCCCUGAGCCAACGAGCACGAAAACAACCAAGAAAGGGUCAAAUAAGGAACCGAAGAGAAGGACCGAAGUCCGAAUCCAGGGUUUCAAAAGAGGCGUAACUCUAAGGAGUUCGCUCAACACUGGAGCUUAAGCGACAAACAACAAGAAGCAAUCAGACAAGAUACAUGGUGCGAAAUUAGAUGUAAAUGAAGUUUAUGCAAGUUUCUUUUAAAAUGAGAGCCAGGGGAUUCUACCGUCCAGUAGGAAUUUUCAGGUUUUGCUGAGGGAGAACAAAGGUCAUGGAAAAUGAAGGUCAUGGGAAAAACGUGGAAGUGAAUAGGCGCGUGGGGACCAUUUCAAAACAUUGGAUCCUCCCUCUUUUUUAUCUCUUUGUAUUAAUCACUGUGGAAUAGUAUUCCGUACUAAUAAAAAUAUUUCAACAAUGUAAUGGUGAAACUUCUAUCCAAUAGAAUAAUCAUUUCAAACGUAA